GACAGAUGCUGCUGUAUCUCCAGAGUCAAGAAGACAGCUCCAGCAGCCAAGCUCCUGCCACAGAAAGCAAACCUGGCGUCGAUCACCACAGCUCUCAUCACGUCUGAGGCAUCCCUGCCGUGUGGGCAAGCGCUCCACCUCCUCCAGAGAUGGACAGGCAGAGGAGCAGAGGUCCUCUCCAGCUCCCUUCUCAUCUGUGCUGCAGUCAUCAGCCCCCACAACUACCUUUAGUUUUUGAGAGGCGGCAGCUCUGGUGGAUUUGGUAACACUAAUGCAAAACGGGAAAGUGAAGAGAGAGGAGAAGCAAGUUUCAUUAACAGAGAGAGUUCUACAUAAAAUGUACCGGAGCUGAUGGAGGAAAAGGAAGAGACAGCCAAGAUGUUCAGCUGCAAGUGGAGUCCAAUUUGAUGCUCAGCGUGAGUUUAAAGGGAAGAUUUUCUCAGCCUUAAAAUAAAAGAGCAGUAUCAGCCGCGUAUGGGGCAGAAAACUGUCGUCACAGAAAUGGAUUGUACCAGGCUCGGGAAAACCGAGAGUGGCAAAAGCAGCUCAUUUUGCUGCGUUACAUUUAUAGAUGUGCUCAUCUGAAUGCUCCCAGGAGGGACUUGCUUUAUGCAUCCAGACAAAAUACACAGGCGUCCUAGCACGCGGCGUCACGGCGACCAAACCCCAGCGUAAAGGCC